UUCUGAGUUGGGUUCAUUUAAUUUUUUCCCUUGUUUUUAGUAUAAGUAUUUUGAGGCAGUGAACUUUUCUCUGACUGCUGCUUUAUCUGUACCCAUAGAUUCUGAUAUGUAAUGUUUUCAUUAUUAUUAUUGUCUAGAAAUUCAGCAAUUUUGGUUUGAGUUUGCCCUUUGACCCAAGAAUUGUUUGACAGAGAGUUUUUAUAUAUUCAGAUGGAAGAUCUUUUUUACAUUGAUUUCUACUUUUAUCCAGGUGUGAUCAGAGAACAUUGUCAGUAUUAGUUCUACCUUUUGGAAUUUAUUGAGAUUUUCUUCUUGGCCUAAUAUUGAUUUUGUUGUUUAGGUUUUCUGUAUUCUUACUGGGUUUUUGUUGCUGUUGUUGUUCAUUUGAUCUGUCCUGGAAUGAGAAAGUAUUAAACAAGACUUCCAGUUCUAUGUUAAACAGUAGUUGGUGAGGGUAAGUAUCUAGUCUUAACCUUCAAGGAAAUGCAUCUUAAGUUUCUCCAUUUUCUGCAAAGUAUGCUGUAAAAUUUUGGUAUGUAACCUUCACCAAGUUAAGAAAUUUGCCUUCUAUUCAUAUUUUUUAAAGCGUUUUCAUCAUAAGUAGGCAUGUAACAUAAUUUUUCUAUAUUAAUUGAGAUACUCAUAUAAUUAUUCUCCCUUAGUCUAUUCAUGUGGUAAAUUACAUUGAUAGAUUUUUCUGAGUUUGAAUGCAUUCUCCUUGCAUUCUUGGAAUUAACUCCAUUUGAUUGUGAUGUAUUUUUUAAAUACUGUUGGAUUCAAUUAGCUAAUAUUUAAUUUACGAUUUAUGCAUCUAUAUUCAUAAGUGAAAUGAGCCUAUAAUUUUCUUUAAUUGUCCUUAUCUGUUUUUAAAAUCAAGACUUCAAGAUUUUACUAGACAAAUAAAAUGAGCUAGGCAGCUUUCUCUCCUUUUCUAUUUUCUGGAAUAACUUGUAUAAGAAGAGAAGUAACUCCUGAGAGUCCCACACACUAUACCUGUAAAUCCAUCUGGGCCUGGAUUUGGGGGGAAGCGAUGUCCUUACCUACCAUUUCAGUUUCAUUAAUGCCUAGUGGUCUAUUCACGUUCUCUACUUCCUAUGCCAUGUUUAUCAUUUUAUAUUUUUCUAGGAAAAAAAACUUUAUCUAGAUGUUUCCAAUUAUUUCUGUCUAGUACCUAGCAGUCAGGUUUCUGGCUUGAGUACUUGGUGGUGCCUUCACAGAGAGGGGGGCACAAGAGGAGCAGCAUGUCUGUUAUUUGGGGGCCAGAGGAAGUUUGGCUACCUCUACACUUUCAGCAAAGCAAUGGCUAUAUGUGAUUCUCUGUUGCUUUGGAUAUUUGUGAUUAUGUAUGAAUGUGCACACUUCUAUAAAGGUGUGUUUUUUAUACAUGAUGCUCUGGUGUGUUUCUGUUUAUAUGAAAAUGUCAGGCUGAAAAAGAACAAUUUUUCUAUGUAAUUAUUUUUCUGUAUCUGUUUGCAUGGGUCCGUGAGCUGUGAUGGGGGUAUUUCCAUGGUUCUCUCAAUGUCCCUGUGUACAUCAGCAUCUCUGCCAGCUGGUAAUUCAUUCUGUGUGCUUUUCCAUGUCUUGGAGUGUCUGCAACUGUGAGGGUUCUUGAUUCUAUGUGUAUCUAUAUGUCUCUGCACAUGUCUGCAUCUCUGAGGGUGGGGGAUUAUGUAUGCAUCUCUGUGUUUUACUGUAGAAAUAUAUGUAUGCAGUGCACAUGCUACGUGGCAAGUUCAGACUCUCCAAGUCUGGAAGAAACAUUACAACAGGAAAUGCUCUGGAUUCCAGCUUCCGGAUGGAAUUUCACUCAGAAAAAUACCCCUUCCUGGUCCUCCCAAUAACUGCAGCAUUCUUUGUCUUUCUUGAAGAGGCUGAGUUGAGGGGGUUUGUGCUAACCUUGACCUCAGAGGCCACGUCGUUCAGGAGGAUUUGGCAGAGCCAUGAAAUUCCACACCCUGCCACUUGCCUCUUGCCAGGCCUACUGCUUCCUCCUAAACCCUUUUAUAGCUCCACAUUAUCUACCAGACCAAUUCCAAUCUAAAUUGUCCAGAGAGGCCAGAAGAAGACACAGGGAGAUGAGGAGAAAGAAACAGAAUAAGAUUUUUAUAAAGAAAUAGAUAAACAAAGAUAGAUAUGGGAACGGGGGAUAGAGAAUUGAGAACAAGGAUAUAAAGAGACAGAGACCAAGAAAUAGGGCCUGAAUGGUAGGAACAGAUAGUCAGAAAUGGUGAUAAAGAAGCAAAGAAGUUUGGGGACAGAGAGAUGUACAGACAGAUGGAAUGGGCAGGGUAGAAAAAGAGGGACUGACAGAAAUGAGGCUGGAAUGUAGGGAGAGAGAGAGAUGGGGACAGAGACACAGAUUGGGGUCAGAAAGGCAGUUACAUAAAACAUGAGGAUAGAGACACAGAGAUGAUAACAGCCAGGUGGAUAGAGAGAGACACAGAGAUGAUAACAGCCAGGUAGAUAAAGAGAGUGACUGGGAUUAGAUAGACAAAGAUAGAAACGGAGAUGGUGUUGAGGAGGAAGAGGUUGAUGAUAUAGAAGCUAAUAUUUUUUAACUGAAGUAUAGUUGAUUUACAAUGUUUCAGGUGUACAGCAAAGUGAUUCAAUUAUAUAUAUAUGUAAAUAUAUAGGUAUAUAUAGUCUUUUUCAUAUUCUUUUCCAUUAUAGGUUAUUACAAAAUAUUGAAUACAGUUCCCUGUGCUAUAGUAGGUCCUUGUUAUUUAUUUUUAGGAGCUAAUAAUAUUUUUGAGCAUUUCUUAUAUUUGAGGCAUGGUUCUGUAAGCUGUACAUGUGUUAGUUCAUUUAAUGCUCUUGGUAACACUGAAGCAGGUACUGUUAUCAGCCCUGUUUUACAGAUGAGGACACUGAGGCACAGCAAGUCAGCAGCACAACUAGGAUUGGAAUCCAGACAAUCUAACACCAGAGGCCAUACUCUUGACUACUCUGUCAGUGACAGAGAUACAGACAGACAGGGAUCUGGGGACAAGAUGGCAAACAGAUGAAACACACAUAGGGACAGAAAGAUGGAAACAAGAGACAGGCACAUGAGGAGAGCCACCCAGCAAGAGAGAUGGUAACAGAGGUAGAAAAGGGGUGAUAGAUGAGGAGAGACUCAAAGAGGGAAACAAGGGCAAGAAGACCAACAUAGGGGUAUGUGUGUGAGAGAGAAACAAAGAGAAUGUAAAUGUUAGUUGUGAGGGGGUGGGAGGCUGGGGUGAAGACAGAGACUGGAACAGAAAGGUGAGAAUAGAAAUAGAGAAAGAUAGGUGGGGAACAGAGACGGAUGAAUGCAGCAACAUAAAUACAAAGAUGAGAACUGGGAGACAGGCAGAGAUAAGAUAAAUAGGUACAGAGUGAUGGAGACAGAGGGGUGGACAGAAAAAAGGCCAAGGAGCCAAAGGAAAUUGAAAGAGAAGCAGAAAAGACAAAUUUUGGAACACAGAUUCAGAAACAGAUGAGGUAGAGUAAUAUGGUAUUAUAUAUGUGAGGAUGGAGACACAGACCAAGAGGAGAACCAUAAGUUAGAUGGGGACAGGAUGGAGACAAGGCAACCCCCAACAGAGGCAAUGGAGAGAGAGUGAGAGCAAGAGCAAGAAGGGGAGAGAUUGAGAGAGAAUAGGAGAGAUAGGAAAGAGAAACCACCAGAGAGAUGUAAACAGAAAGACAAGAGAGAGCAAAAUAAGAGAGAUGGGAGACAUCUGAAAGGUGGUGACAGUGAUGGUGAACUGGGGUGACAGUAAAAAAAAGAAAUAGAGGCACAGAAGGAAAUAAUUUUGAUUCAACAACCACUCACAAGUCUUGGAUAUAUCAGGGCUGGCACUGGGCUGUGUGGUACCCAAUAGGCUGUGAGCUCAGGAAGGCAGGGCCUGGGACUUUGUUAUGCAAUACUGUAUCCUCCACCUACAGUAUACUCCCAAUCAUGUGGAGGGCUACCAUUUAUUAAACAUUAGGUACUGGGGACUGUGCAUGCGUUUCAUGGAUUAUGUUAUUGAAUCCUCACAACUCUGAUGUAGUAGGUAUUAUUAUCAUCCCCAGUUUACAGAUGGGGAAACUGAGACUUAGAGCAAUGAGUAACUUACCCAGGGUCACACAGAGGAGCUAGGAGUGAAGCCCCAGCCUGGACCAAUGGUAGAGUAUGUCAUGAACCAAGGAUUAGGAUGAACCCUGUUCUUUCUGUACACCCAAUGUGCAAAAAAUCAAAUUCCAGUCUGCCUGCCUCCAAGGCCUACAUGUUUGACCACCAUACCACACUGCUCCAGUGAAGACUCACUCACAGACUGAUGGAAGACUGCUGAACCAAG